UACGAAGGGGGCUAGCGUUGCUCGGAAUCACUGGGCGUAAAGCGCACGUAGGCGGAUUGCUAAGUCAGGGGUGAAAUCCUGGAGCUCAACUCCAGAACUGCCUUUGAUACUGGCGAUCUUGAGUCCGGGAGAGGUGAGUGGAACUGCGAGUGUAGAGGUGAAAUUCGUAGAUAUUCGGAAGAACACCAGUGGCGAAGGCGGCUCACUGGACUGGUAUUGACGCUGAGGUGCGAAAGCGUGGGGAGCGAACAGG
rnacentral:rRNA from 1 species